CCCUUAGAUGUUCGGGGCCGCACGCGCGCUACACUGAAGGAAUCAGCACGUCUUUCUCCUUGUCCGAAAGGACUGGGUAACCCGCUGAACCUCCUUCGUGCUAGGGAUUGGGGCUUGUAAUUCUUCCCCAUGAACGAGGAAUUCCCAGUAAGCGCGAGUCAUAAGCUCGCGUUGAUUACGUCCCUGCCCUUUGUACACACCGCCCGUCGCUACUACCGAUUGGAUGGUUUAGUGAGAUCCUCGGAUUGGUCCCGGAGCGGCCUCUGGUCGUGCCGGAGUGCCGAAGAGAAUGUCGAACUUGAUCAUCUAGAGGAAGUAAAAGUCGUAACA
rnacentral:rRNA from 1 species